CCUACGGGUGGCAGCAGUGAGGAAUAUUGGUCAAUGGACGAGAGUCUGAACCAGCCAAGUAGCGUGAAGGAUGACUGCCCUAUGGGUUGUAAACUUCUUUUAUAUGGGAAUAAAAUGUUCCAAGUGUGGGAUUUUGUAUGUACCAUAUGAAUAAGGAUCGGCUAACUCCGUGCCAGUAGCCGCGGUAAUAAGGAGGAUCCGAGCUUUAUCCGGAUUUAUUGGGUUUAAAGGGAGCGUAGGUGGAUUGUUAAGUCAGUUGUGAAAGUUUGCGGCUCAACCGUAAAAUUGCAGUUGAAACUGGCAGUCGUGAGUACAGUAGAGGUGGGCGGAAUUCGUGGUGUAGCGGUGAAAUGCUUAGAUAGCACGAAGAACACCGAUUGCGAAGGCAGCUCCCUGGACUGCAACUGACACUGAGGCUCGAAAGUGUGGGUAUCAAACAGGAUUAGAUACCCUGGUAGUC
rnacentral:rRNA from 1 species